rnacentral:tmRNA from 1 species
GGGGAGGACUUUGGUUUCGAUGUUGUGGAACGGGUUCUUCAGAUGCGCGUAGAGAGUGUCAGUCUCUCUCAAAAAACUGACCAAACCAUUAAACGCCAACGAUAGCGUAUUUGACCAGGCCCUAGCGGCCUGAUCCGGUGACCGGGAUCUCCCGUCCUUGACUGAACGGUCGCCGUCACAAGAAAGGACUGGCUGUGGUGCCCCCCAAAGACCACGGUAAGACUUACGGGGAGACCUUCUGGGUGGCCCGUCUUUCGGCAGCCCUGCAUUGAAUAAAGAAAGACUAUGCGCGUAAUUCAUCUGGAGGCUUGGCAUAACAGACGGCGGUUCGAUCCCGCCCCUCUCCACCA